AAUGCUUUGUUGAUUACAUACAGCAUAGCCUGCUACUAGCUGUCCUUCCGCAUUUCUUAAACAGGAACCAUCCACAUAAUAAAUUAACUCUGGGUUGUGCAGGGGAAUAUCCUGCAGAUCAGGUCUGGGAGCAGAUACUUCAGCAGUUAUAGAUAAGCAAUCAUGGGGUUCCCCAUCGGUUGCCGUGGGGAGAAGGGAAGCAGGAUUUAGUACUGGACACCUAACUAAAGUAACAUAUGCAGCAUUUAAAAGCAGCAUUUCAUACUUAGGCCAAAUGAGGACAAAGAUUGUUAAAAAUGGCUACCAGGAAGUUGAUUCUCUGAUAUACAACACAGUUCAGGUUCUUGGUGUGACUUCAAGACCUAAUGCUAUUGUUUUGAAUGGAAAUGUCAUCCGUGGCAAGGACCUACAGUAUCAGGAAAAUGGGCUUGUUGUCACUCUGUGUUUCCAAAGUGUUUACUCAAGAUUAAUUAGUGGUCUUGGGGGAGACAGAGGAUAGAGAAUUGAACAUGAAGAGAGAUGUCUGCCUAGAAAAUGCUGCAAGAAAAGCUAUCUGCCCUAAGCAUUCUAUGCAUCAAAAGUGACAAACUCCAUAGCUUACCAUUUGAGGACAACAUCAAUGACUUUGCUUUCCAAAAAUCACAAAAGAAAAUGUUUUGAUUUUCAGUUUUAAAAUUAAUGUGAUGUGCAAACAGACAUACUGAAGGCUGUACUGCUUCCUUUAUGUAAGCUGGUCUGUGUAACUGCUUUUG